CCUACGGGAGGCAGCAGUGGGGAAUAUUGCACAAUGGAGGAAACUCUGAUGCAGCGACGCCGCGUGAGUGAAGAAGUAUUUCGGUAUGUAAAGCUCUAUCAGCAGGGAAGACAGUGACGGUACCUGACUAAGAAGCUCCGGCUAAAUACGUGCCAGCAGCCGCGGUAAUACGUAUGGAGCAAGCGUUAUCCGGAUUUACUGGGUGUAAAGGGAGUGUAGGUGGUAUCACAAGUCAGAAGUGAAAGCCCGGGGCUCAACCCCGGGACUGCUUUUGAAACUGUGGAACUGGAGUGCAGGAGAGGUAAGUGGAAUUCCUAGUGUAGCGGUGAAAUGCGUAGAUAUUAGGAGGAACACCAGUGGCGAAGGCGGCUUACUGGACUGUAACUGACACUGAGGCUCGAAAGCGUGGGGAGCAAACAGGAUU
rnacentral:rRNA from 1 species